UGUUCUCGUCCGAUCAUCGAAGUUAAGCAACUUUGAGCCUGGUCAGUAUUUAGAUGGGUGACCACUUGGGAAUACUAG